CUGAAAGAUACUAUACAUAUGCUUCAAAUAUUAGAACAAACUGAGUGGCAGGAAGGAUAUCUGCUAGUAACAUGUGAUGUUAGCUCAUUAUAUAGUAUCAUCCCCCACAAAAAAGGUCUCGAAGCAGUUCAAUAUUUUUUGGAGAAAUCGGAUUUUAAGAAAGAGCAAAUAGAGUUUAUUUUGGAAGGAAUCUCACUUAUUUUAACUAAUAAUUUGUUUUGGUUCCAAGAACAAUUUUAUCUCCAAAUUUGUGGCAAUGCGAUGGGCACCAAGUUCGCCCCCAGUUAUGCCAACUUAUUUAUGGCGUAUUGGGAGCAAUAUUUUAUUUCAGGUGACCAUGACUGGAGGGCGAACUUGGUG